UAUGGUGGUUUUUCCGAGGGUGUUCACCUCUUCCCAUACCGAACAGAGAAGUUAAGCCCCUCAUGGCCGAUGGUACUGCACUACAAUGCGGGAGAGUAGGUAGCUGCCAUAUUUAUUCUAAACCCCUUCAAUAUCAUGAAGGGGUUUUUUUAUGUACCUAUAUCAGCCCUCAGUACAGACCUUGCUAACCUAUCCCUAAAAAUUGGUUGAAUGCGGCGU
rnacentral:rRNA from 1 species